GAUGAAGAACGUAGCGAAAUGCGAUAAGUAAUGCGAAUUGCAGAAUUUCCGUGAGUCAUCGAAUCUUUGAACGCACAUUGCUCCCACUGGUAUUCCGGUGGGCAUGCCUGUUCGAGCGUCAUUAUCCUCCCUCAAACCCCGGGUUUGGUGUUGGACCCAAGUUGUGUGAACAACUGGUCUCAAAGACAAUGACGGCGUCCGUGGGACCCUCGGUGCAACGAGCUUUUAGGAGCACGCAUUGAGUUGCAAGGACCUUCCGGGCCGGUCUCCUUUACCAUUUUACAAGGUUGACCUCGGAUCAGGUAGGAAUACCCGCUGAACUUAAGCAUAUCAAUAAGCGGAGGA
rnacentral:misc_RNA from 1 species